GACGAACGCUGGUGGCGUGCUUAACACAUGCGAGUCGAACGGAAAGGCCCUGCUUUUGUGGGGUGCUCGAGUGGCGAACGGGUGAGUAACACGUGAGUAACCUGCCCUUGACUUUGGGAUAACUUCAGGAAACUGGGGCUAAUACCGGAUAGGAGCUCCUGCUGCAUGGUGGGGGUUGGAAAGUUUCGGCGGUUGGGGAUGGACUCGCGGCUUAUCAGCUUGUUGGUGGGGUAGUGGCUUACCAAGGCUUUGACGGGUAGCCGGCCUGAGAGGGUGACCGGCCACAUUGGGACUGAGAUACGGCCCAGACUCCUACGGGAGGCAGCAGUGGGGAAUAUUGCACAAUGGGCGGAAGCCUGAUGCAGCAACGCCGCGUGCGGGAUGACGGCCUUCGGGUUGUAAACCGCUUUCGCCUGUGACGAAGCGUGAGUGACGGUAAUGGGUAAAGAAGCACCGGCUAACUACGUG
rnacentral:rRNA from 1 species